GUUAUGAAGCCUUGGCUCACCGAGAGUGCAUCUGGAAACUGGGAGACUCCCCUAAGAAGAGGACAUGGAACUCCAUGUGUAGCGGUGACUGCGUAGAUAUAUGGAAGAACACCAGUGGCGAAGGCGGCUGUCUGGUCUGUAACUGACGCUGAGGCUCGAAAGUAUGGGUAGCAAACAGGAUUAGAUACCCUGGUAGUCCAUACCGUAAACGAUGAAUGCUAAGUGUUGGAGGGUUUCCGCCCUUCAGUGCUGCAGCUAACGCAUUAAGCAUUCCGCCUGGGGAGUACGCCGCAAGGUGAAACUCAAAGGAAUUGACGGGGGCCCGCACAAGCGGUGGAGCAUGUGGUUUAAUUCGAAGCUACGCGAAGAACCUUACCAGGUCUUGACAUCUUUGAAUAGAGAUUAAACUUUCCCUUCGGGGACAUGGAUACAGGUGGUGCAUGGUUGUCGUCAGCUCGUGUCGUGAGAUGUUGGGUUAAGUCCCGCAACGAGCGCAACCCUUAUUUAGUUGCCAUCAUUAUUGGGCACUCUGGUGAGACUGCCGGUGACAAACCGGAGGAAGGUGGGGAUGACUCAAAUCUCUGCCCCUUAUGACCUGGGCUAA
rnacentral:rRNA from 1 species